UGUGCUGAUAUCGCUCCUGCAAGUUAGAAUAAAUUCACAAAACAAUCCGGAACUAGCUGCGUAUUCAAGUUUGCCUUUAAAUAGUGAAGAGCAAACACCACUGCAUCAUGCACAGGCUGCUAGGGCAACUUUUCUGGAGCAUGACCGAUCAUUAAGAUGUUGUGUAACCGCCACAACCUUCAUGAUCGAUUUUUCGAUCAUUUUUUUUUCUAGCCAAAUAGAACUCCCUUGACACAUGACAUAAAAAAUAUAGCUGUCUGGAAAACACAACACAAAAGCUUAAUUACACACAGAGCUAUUAACAUCUGCACUUAUGAAUGUUCUGAUAUAAAAAAUGCAUUAGAGCAAAUUAAAUCUUAAUUUGACGGGUGAUUUUUAGUCUCAGCUUCCUGCACAUUAAAGCUUUUUGGAAACAGAACAUCCAGUUCUUUCUAACAGCAGUUCUUUCUCUCCCUUCACGUUGUUGUUGUUUUUUAAAUCCCUGUUUUUUCCUUGUGAUUUUUCCACUCGUUUUAAAAGGCCUAUAUCAGGUCCAGUAUUAUGUAACAGUCAAUAUUCACACAACAACCACCACACACACAGAGUGUGGUUGGGAAGCGGCUCAUUAGACGAGCCACUUUCUACAGAACAACAUUCUAACUACCUUGCUAGAAAUGGAGACGCUGCCUCCACAGCCGCGAAAGAGAGAGGAGCAGUCUAAACCAAAAGGAGGUGGGGAAAGACGAGGAGGAACACAAAGAGUGUGUGAAGUGAACACUCCCAGGCAGCUGUGGACGCAUACAAACUAAAGUAAGGCUCACCAGUCAAAUUGCACAGCAGAUGACUACUGGGUGUGUGUGACAUCAACAAAAACCACUAAAGAAGGGAACAAGCCUGAGGAGCAGAAGAAGAAGCUUUGGAAGAUAACAACGUUCAAGGGAAGGAAAGAUUCCAAAGCAGCGUGGAGGCAGCGUCAGAAGACUUCUCUGGAUGAUUGAGUGCAUUCAGACGCUCCGCAGGCAAAACUCCUGCCUCGCUCGUCGCUGUCUCCUCCUCAUCAACUGGUCUGCUCACUUCUGCUUUGUUAUUUCUGACACUUAAGUCUGGGCUCUCGGCUAAGUGAGUGAAAACAGCAAGGGCUCUCGCAGGAUGGAUGCCGGAGAACAGACGCUGACCCUUCUGAGCAGGGUAUGGGUGAAGCUGCAGAAUCUGCCCAGCGCCAACGGUAUAGAUCUGGGGGCUUUCUUCGUCCUGCUCACUUUCAUCUUGAUGGUGGUGGCUAUUGCAGUGGUGACCUGCUUGAGCUGCUGCUGCUGCUGCCGCUGCUGCAAGGCCAAGAUGAAGGGACCGAAUAUCUGAACAAAUGUGCUCCACACGAAGAGAACUGCAAUAACAUGUACAAUAACUGGACUUGCAACUCCCACGUCAGGCAUCUAAGCACAGACAAAAGGGUUGCAAGAGUUUCUCUGCAGCUCUCGACUCCGGCUGCGACUCAUGCCCAUGUGAUUUAUAGGCGACAUUUAAGAUGGGUGUGUUCGGUGGCACCGAAGAGGCCAAACCCUUGAACAAUAAACUGAAUUGUCAAGCACAGAGAGGGGUGACCUGACUGCCUGCCAGGCACACCUGCAAAAAGCUGCAUGGUUUUCAGGAGAAUCCACAUUCCAUGGAGCAUCCCUGCUCUCUACAGGGCAACAACAACUCUCCUGAAGUGGGGAGAAGGCCGGGCCACACCCAAAAGGCAACUCUAAAUUAUGCAGGGGAAAAAACAUGGAAUUUGAGCUGGGAAAAUUAAAAAUAAUAAAAUAAAUAGGAUAUCAACAGUAAAAGUAAGAUGUGAUGGGGGAAUGUAAAUUGCUUUGUUAAUGAGUCAUUGUUGAGGAGUUGGAUAAGAUUCCCCUAAGGGGGGGAAGCUGUUUCAGAGCUGGGCCGUGAAGAGAGAUCAAGUCUGCCCUCUGCUGUACACAAACCGGGAUGCCACGUGUAUGAUGAAAGUUAUAUUAUGUAUGAUGUACUCAAGAAAAGGGAAAAUUUAUUGUGUAAUGAGUAAGUGAGGCUUUGACUCAACACUUAUUGUACUGCCUACUGUAAAUAAUAAACAAAAAGUGAGAGUGAUUCCUUCACUUACCCUUCUUUCUCACAGAAUGACA